rnacentral:lncRNA from 1 species
CUAAUUCAAAACAAUAAGGGAAACAAGACAAUAUUUUUGGAUUUUUAAAUUUUCCGAUUUUUUUAAAAUUUUUUUUUUAAAAGAAAACAAAACUAAUUAAGAAAACAAAAAGCAACAACAUGGAAACAAAUGAAACUCGUUCGUAGUUGAAGGUACAAAAAAAAAUUUCAAUUUGGUCAUUUUUAUACUCUUUACCCCCAAACUUAAACUAGACAUUGUCCCCAAUGUCAGAAAACACUAUAAUGCAAAUAAAAAUAAAAUAAAUAAAUAAUAAGAAACAAAAUAAAGCAAUUGGACUGAAAACUUCCCUAGUUUGCAGUAAAACCAAGCGAUGACCCCCCAAGCUAAAAUUCUGCAAUCAACUUCAAGGGUGGAAAGAACCAAAAGUUCUUGCAAAGAAAAGAAAUAAUUCAGUUAAGUAACGCAAGAAAAUGUAAAAUUGAAAAUCACGAUAAAAGACAAUG